GGGAAGAGCUCAAAUUUUGAAUCUGGCAGUCUUUGGCUGUCCGAGUUGUAAUCUAGAGAAGCGUUUUCCGCGUUGGACCGUGUACAAGUCUCCUGGAAGGGAGCGUCAUAGAGGGUGACAAUCCCGUCUUUGACACGGACGACCAGGGCUAUGUGAUGCGCUCUCGACGAGUCGAGUUGUUUGGGAAUGCAGCUCAAAAUGGGUGGUAAAUUCCAUCUAAAGCUAAAUACAUGCGAGAGACCGAUAGCGAACAAGUACCGUGAGGGAAAGAUGAAAAGAACUUUGAAAAGAGAGUUAAACAGUACGUGAAAUUGCUGAAAGGGAAACGCUUGAUGUCAGUCGCGUCUGCCGGGGAUCAACCUUGCUUCAUUGCCGGGGUGCAUUUCCUGGUCGACGGGUCAGCAUCAGUUUCGAUCGCUCGUACAAGGUCGGAGGGAACGUAGCACUCUUCGGAGUGUGUUAUAGCCUUUCGCCGUAUCCGGCGGUAGGGACUGAGGAACUCAGCACGACUUUUCGUUUGUGCUUGGGAUGCUGGCAUAAUGGCCUUAAGCGACCCGUCUUGAAACACGGACCAAGGAGUCUAACAUGCCUGCGAGUGUUUGGGUGCCAAACUCAAGCGCGAAAUGAAAGUGAACGUCGAGAUCUCUGUCAUGGAGUGCAUCGAUGCCCGGGCCCUGAGUCUUUGACGACGGUUCUGCGGUAGAGCAUGCAUGUUAGGACCCGAAAGAUGGUGAACUAUGCCUGAUAGGGUGAAGCCA
rnacentral:rRNA from 1 species